rnacentral:rRNA from 1 species
AGCAGCCGCGGUAAUUCCAGCUCCAAUAGCGUAUAUUAAAGUUGUUGCAGUUAAAAAGCUCGUAGUUGAACUCCAGGCCUGGCUGGACGGUCCGCCUUCCGGGCGAGUACUGUCUGUGGUCGGGUCCUACCUUCUGGCGAAGCGUCAUGGCCUUAACCGGCCGUGGCGGGGAACCAGGACUUUUACUGUGAAAAAAAUUAGAGUGUUCAAAGCAGGCAAUUCGCUUGGAUACAUUAGCAUGGAAUAAUGGAAUAGGACAAUGGUUCUAUUUGUUGGUUUCUAGGACUGUUGUAAUGAUUAAUAGGGAUAGUUGGGGGCAUUAGUAUUCAAUUGUCAGAGGUGAAAUUCUUGGAUUUAUUGAAGACUAACUACUGCGAAAGCACUUGCCAAGGAUGUUUUCAUUAAUCAAGAACGAAAGUUAGGGAUCGAAGACGAUCAGAUACCGUGUAGUCUUAACCAUAAACUAUGACCGAUAGGAAUCGGGCGAUAGUUAACAAAUGACGCGCUCGGCACCUCAUAC